rnacentral:rRNA from 1 species
GAAAGUAAGCAAGGGCGCAUGGCGGAUGCCUUGGCUCUCGGAGGCGAUGAAGGACGUGAUAAGCUGCGAUAAGCUUCGGGUAGGUGCAAAUAACCUUUGAUCCCAAGAUUUCCGAAUGGGGCAACCCGGCUGGUAGAAGGCCAGUCAUUCCGUAAGGAAGGCGAACGUGGGGAACUGAAACAUCUAAGUACCCAUAGGAGAAGAAAACAAAAGUGAUUCCGCAAGUAGUGGCGAGCGAACGCGGAACAGCCCAAACCGAUGAUGUUUAGGCAUUGUCGGGGUAGUAGGACCACGUUGUGGCAAGAGAUUAAGGAAGUAGAACGUUUUGGAACAAACGGCCGUAGACGGUGAAAGCCCAGUAUACGACUCUUUAACGAAGCCUAGUGGAAUCCUGAGUAGCGCGGAGCACGAGAAAUUCUGUGUGAAUCAGCGGGGCCCAUCCCGUAAGGCUAAAUACUCCCGAGAGACCGAUAGCGAACCAGUACUGUGAAGGAAAGGUGAAAAGCACCUCGAACAGAGGAGUGAAAUAGUCCCUGAAACCGUCUGCCUACAAGCGGUCGGAGCAACGUAAGUUGUGACGGCGUGCCUUUUGCAUAAUGAACCUACGAGUUACUUUCUCCGGCAAGGUUAAGGGCUUCAGGCCCGGAGCCGAAGCGAAAGCGAGUCUUAAUAGGGCGUGAUAGUCGGAGUGAGUAGACGCGAAACCAAGUGAUCUACCCUUGGUCAGGAUGAAGGUUGGGUAACACCAACUGGAGGUCCGAAUGGGUAUACGUUGAAAAGUGUUCCAAUGAACUGAGGGUAGGGGUGAAAGGCUAAUCAAACUUGGAGAUAGCUCGUACUCCCCGAAAUGCAUUUAGGUGCAGCCUUUAUUUAGUAUAGCAUGAGGUAGAGCGACUGAUUGGAUGCGAGGGCUUCACCGCCUAUCAAGUCCAGAUAAACUCCGAAUGCGUGCUAUAUAUUGAUAAGGAGUGAGGGCGCGGGUGCUAAGGUCCGCGUCCGAGAGGAGAAGAAUCCAGACCAUCAGCUAAGGUCCCCAAAUAACAGUUAAGUUGAACUAACGAAGUCGGACUGCAGAGACAGCUAGGAUGUUGGCUUGGAAGCAGCCAUUCAUUUAAAGAGUGCGUAACAGCUCACUAGUCGAGGAGUCCGGCGUGGAUAAUACUCGGGCAUAAACUGUUUACCGAAGCUAUGGAUGUAGAAAUACAUGGUAGGGGAGCAUUCCAACGGCGUCGAAGGUGAAGGAUGACCUUUGCUGGAGCUUUUGGAAACGCAAAUGUAGGUAUAAGUAACGAUAAAGGAGGUGAGAAACCUCCUCGCCGAAAGACUAAGGUUUCCUGAUCAACGUUAAUCGGAUCAGGGUAAGUCGGGACCUAAGGUUAAGCCGAACGGCGAUACCGAUGGAAGAAUGGUUUAAUAUUCCCAUACUACUUUAUGGAGCGAUGUGGAGACGGAGAAGUGAAAGUCCUGCCAUCUGACGGAAUAGGUGGUUGAAGAGUGUAGAUGUAGAUUCCUGUAGGCAAAUCCGCAGGGAGAGUCGACCUUGAUAGUAUGCCGCGUGCUUGCACAAGGCAAAAUGGACGUAAUCAGGCUCCCAAGAAAAUCCGCUAAGCAUAUUCAUAAAGUACCCGUACCGUAAACGGACACACGUAGUUGGGUUGAAAAUACUGAGGCGCUCGAGUGAUUCACGGUUAAGGAACUAGGCAAAUUGACCCUGUAACUUCGGGAUAAAGGGUCCCUACUGAGAGGUAGGGCGCAGAGAAUAGGUCCAGGCAACUGUUUAACAAAAACACAUGGCUGUGCGAAAUAGAAAUAUGAAGUAUACAGCCUGACACCUGCCCGGUGCUGGAAGGUUAAGAGGAGAGCUCAUCGCAAGAGAAGGCUUGAAUUGAAGCCCCAGUAAACGGCGGCCGUAACUAUAACGGUCCUAAGGUAGCGAAAUUCCUUGUCGGGU